rnacentral:rRNA from 1 species
UACGUAGGGGGCAAGCGUUGUUCGGAUUCAUUGGGCGUAAAGGGUGCGUAGGCGGCGCGGUAAGUCGGAUGUGAAAUCUCGGAGCUUAACUCCGAAACUGCAUUCGAUACUGCCGUGCUUGAGGACUGGAGAGGAGACUGGAAUUUACGGUGUAGCGGUGAAAUGCGUAGAUAUCGUAAGGAAGACCAGUGGCGAAGGCGGGUCUCUGGACAGUUCCUGACGCUGAGGCACGAAGGUCAGGGGAGCAAACGGG